AGCUUUGCGCAGUGGCAGUAUCGUAGCCAAUGAGGUUUAUCCGAGGCGCGAUUAUUGCUAAUAGAAAAUACAGAAUAAUGUUACUAAUGCUAUCCAUUCAUUUAACAAAUAUUUAUUGAGCAUUUGACACUGUUCUAGACA
ensembl:snRNA U4 U4 spliceosomal RNA